UACGAAGGGGGCUAGCGUUGUUCGGAAUCACUGGGCGUAAAGGGCGCGUAGGCGGCCGAUCAAGUCGGGGGCGAAAGCCUGUGGCUCAACCACAGAAUUGCCUUCGAUACUGUUUGGCUUGAGACCGGAAGAGGUUAGUGGAACUGCGAGUGUAGAGGUGAAAUUCGUAGAUAUUCGCAAGAACACCAGUGGCGAAGGCGGCUGACUGGUCCGGUUCUGACGCUGAGGCGCGAAAGCGUGGGGAGCAAACAGG
rnacentral:rRNA from 1 species